rnacentral:rRNA from 1 species
UUAACCUGGCCUUGACAUACUAAGAACUUUCCAGAGAUGGAUUGGUGCCUUCGGGAACUUAGAUACAGGUGCUGCAUGGCUGUCGUCAGCUCGUGUCGUGAGAUGUUGGGUUAAGUCCCGCAACGAGCGCAACCCUUUUCCUUAUUGCCAGCGGGUUAAGCCGGGAACUUUAAGGAUACUGCCAGUGACAAACUGGAGGAAGGCGGGGACGACGUCAAGUCAUCAUGGCCCUUACGGCCAGGGCUACACACGUGCUACAAUGGUCGGUACGAAGGGUUGCUACCUCGCGAGAGGAUGCUAAUCUCAAAAAGCCGAUCGUAGUCCGGAUCGCAGUCUGCAACUCGACUGCGUGAAGUCGGAAUCGCUAGUAAUCGCGGAUCAGAAUGCCGCGGUGAAUACGUUCCCGGGCCUUGUACACACCGCCCGUCACACCAUGGGAGUUUGUUGCACCAGAAGUAGGUAGUCUAACCGCAAGGAGGACGCUUACCACGGUGUGGCCGAUGACUGGGGUGAAGUCGUAACAAGGUAAGCGUAGAUGA